rnacentral:rRNA from 1 species
UACGUAGGGUGCGAGCGUUGUCCGGAAUUAUUGGGCGUAAAGAGCUCGUAGGCGGUGUGUCACGUCGGCCGUGAAAACCUGCAGCUUAACUGUGGGCGUGCGGUCGAUACGGGCAUCACUGGAGUUCGGCAGGGGAGACUGGAAUUCCUGGUGUAGCGGUGAAAUGCGCAGAUAUCAGGAGGAACACCGGUGGCGAAGGCGGGUCUCUGGGCCGUAACUGACGCUGAGGAGCGAAAGCAUGGGUAGCGAACAGG